GUCGAACCUUAUGGUUAACAGCCACAAAUUUUGUUUUACUGCAUGGAAUGGAAGCUCAUGAACUGGGAGGUUUUUGUUUCCCCAAUAGUUGUAGGGACCACCCCGCCCUUCUUAAGCCCAUCUCUAACUCCAACUUUGCAUGCAUCUCUCUCUCUCUCUCUCUCUCUCUCUCUCUCUCUCUGGAACAAUAUAUCUAAUCUCUGUGAUCUGAACUGCAUUUGAUUACAAAAGCUUCAUUGAAUCAUUGGACAUGUUACACUUGGACGAUUCCUUCACCGGAAACAGUACGGACAUGACUGUGCUCCAGAGACAUCAAGCUAUUUUCAGCCGUCAGCAUGAGGACCAGAGACAAGACAACAAUGCAAUUGAAUCUUACGCAAUGCCUCGGCUUCAGAGUCUCAUCAGUGAUGAUUCGAUGGUAUAUCAAGAGCUGAUGAGUAGCUCGAUGAAUGCCGAUCAGUACCUGGGAAGUAUGUUUCCUGCAUUCAGAGAACUCCAGUUGGCCGGAACUGAGUUCGUUGGCGAUACAAUUAGUAUUGCGCCUUUACAGUUGGUGACUUGUGGUUCUCCGGACGUUAAUCACUCUUUUUCUGUAGGACUUAACUUGAAGAAGAGGAAAGCCGAUGAGCUUAUUGUAGAAGAGUGCUGUAAUGACGACGAGAUUGGAGUAGAAGUAAGGCAGGGAGAAUCUGCUGCAAUAGAAACAACUAAUUUGGAAACUUCAACCAACAAUUCGAAGGUUUCUGAUGUUCAGAAGCCUGAUUACAUUCAUGUCAGGGCACGCUGCGGUCAGGCCACGGAUAGCCACAGUUUGGCUGAAAGAGCGAGGAGGGAGAAAAUAAACAAGAAGAUGAAAUGUCUGCAAGAUUUAGUUCCAGGGUGCAGCAAAGUUACAGGCAAGGCUGGGAUGCUCGACGAAAUUAUUAACUACGUGCAGUCUCUUCAAAGACAAAUUGAGUUCCUAUCGAUGAAACUAGCUGCCUUGAAUCCAAUACUUGACUUCGACAUGGAUAGAUUCUCCAUGGAAGAGCAGCCGUUGCACCUCCUGAAAUGGCCGAUUCGGCCUACCAGUUUAGUCAAGUGCAAAAGGGAGCUGCUGCUUAUGGGAUUGAUAUGCCAAUAAAUCCAAUGCAACUUGCUCCUCAGAGAAGCACCACAAGCUCUUCUUCUUUGUCUAUUCCAAAGGUUUAUUUGGACUCAUCCCACUUUCACCAAAUUCAACCCCUGUCAACUUGGGAAACUGAUAUACACACUCUUCACACCACUGAGUUCCAUUGAGAAGGGCCAAUUGUAUUACUACCAAUCUCCACUACUUACAGGUGAGUGGCGCGGAUAUUUGAAUAUUUCGUUUUAAUGAACUAAAGAGAAUAGGGAUGGUCGGUAAGGACUGAAGACUAGUGAGGAGUAAGGAUGAAGCAAGAGGGGCUGAAUCCCUACAUAGAAUACUAACACCAGUACAAUUACUAUCCUAAUAUGAGAAAGUCUGAAGCAUUGGGAACUUUGCAAAGGAAGCUUUACUAACCUAAAUCAUUAGCACCUUCAUCGAUAUUUACAAGCAAGGCACAAUUAUCAGUUGACAAAGCUUUUUCGUCUUGUCUCCAGGAGCUGAUAUUGCCUCUAACGUCACAUGCCUAGCUCGUUUGUUUACAUUCUUGCAUUCAUAUUAUAUUUGUGUAAUGUUUUGUGCAAAGAAAAUUGGUAUUUUGACUAUUUUCAAUCUAGCAGAACCAAAAAGAGACAACGAAGGGGACUAAUUCUCAAGAAAAAGUUCCAUGUAAAUUGAUGCUUUCUAAGCUCCUAAUUGGAAAUAGUAUUGUUAAAUGUUGCUUCUAGAUCUUCAGCUCUGAAGGAAAAGUAUG